GAUGAAGAACGUAGCGAAAUGCGAUAAGUAAUGUGAAUUGCAGAAUUCAGUGAAUCAUCGAAUCUUUGAACGCACAUUGCGCCCUCUGGUAUUCCGGGGGGCAUGCCUGUUCGAGCGUCAUUAUAACCACUCAAGCUCUCGCUUGGUAUUGGAGUUCGCGAUCUCGCGGCCCCUAAAAUCAGUGGCGGUGCCUGUCGGCUCUACGCGUAGUAAUACUCCUCGCGAUUGAGUCCGGUAGGUUUACUUGCCAGCAACCCCCAAUUUUUACAGGUUGACCUCGGAUCAGGUAGGGAUACCCGCUGAACUUAAGCAUAUCAAUAAGCGGAGGA
rnacentral:misc_RNA from 1 species